GGUUGCAUAGUGUAGAGGUUAUCACCGUGGUUUCUGAUUCCGCCAACCCCGGUUCGAAUCCGGGUGCGACCG